GACGAACGCUGGCGGCGUGCCUAAUACAUGCAAGUAGAACGCUGAAGAGAGGAGCUUGCUCUUCUUGGAUGAGUUGCGAACGGGUGAGUAACGCGUAGGUAACCUGCCUUGUAGCGGGGGAUAACUAUUGGAAACGAUAGCUAAUACCGCAUAACAAUGGAUGACACAUGUCAUUUAUUUGAAAGGGGCAAUUGCUCCACUACAAGAUGGACCUGCGUUGUAUUAGCUAGUAGGUGAGGUAAUGGCUCACCUAGGCGACGAUACAUAGCCGACCUGAGAGGGUGAUCGGCCACACUGGGACUGAGACACGGCCCAGACUCCUACGGGAGGCAGCCGUAGGGAAUCUUCGGCAAUGGGGGCAACCCUGACCGGGCAACGCCGCGUGAGUGAAGAAGGUUUUCGGAUCGUAAAGCUCUGUUGUAAGUCAAGAACGGGUGUGAGAGUGGAAAGUUCACACUGUGACGGUAGCUUACCAGAAAGGGACGGCUAACUACGUG
rnacentral:rRNA from 1 species